GUUUAGUAUUUGGUCGUAGACCCGAAACCAGGUGAUCUACCCUUGGUCAGGUUGAAGUUCAGGUAACACUGAAUGGAGGACCGAACCGACUUACGUUGAAAAGUGAGCGGAUGAACUGAGGGUAGCGGAGAAAUUCCAAUCGAACCUGGAGAUAGCUGGUUCUCUCCGAAAUAGCUUUAGGGCUAGCCUCAAGUGAUGAUUAUUGGAGGUAGAGCACUGUUUGGACGAGGGGCCCCUCUCGGGUUACCGAAUUCAGACAAACUCCGAAUGCCAAUUAAUUUAACUUGGGAGUCAGAACAUGGGUGAUAAGGUCCGUGUUCGAAAGGGAAACAGCCCAGACCACCAGCUAAGGUCCCAAAAUAUAUGUUAAGUGGAAAAGGAUGUGGCGUUGCCCAGACAACUAGGAUGUUGGCUUAGAAGCAGCCAUCAUUUAAAGAGUGCGUAAUAGCUCACUAGUCGAGUGACACUGCGCCGAAAAUGUACCGGGGCUAAACAUAUUACCGAAGCUGUGGAUUGUCCUUUGGACAAUGGUAGGAGAGCGUUCUAAGGGCGUUGAAGCAUGAUCGUAAGGACAUGUGGAGCGCUUAGAAGUGAGAAUGCCGGUGUGAGUAGCGAAAGACGGGUGAGAAUCCCGUCCACCGAUUGACUAAGGUUUCCAGAGGAAGGCUCGUCGGCUCUGGGUUAGUCGGGUCCUAAGCUGAGGCCGACAGGCGUAGGCGAUGGAUAACAGGUUGAUAUUCCUGUACCACCUAUAAUCGUUUUAAUCGAUGGGGGGACGCAGUAGGAUAGGCGAAGCGUGCGAUUGGAUUGCACGUCUAAGCAGUAAGGCUGAGUAUUAGGCAAAUCCGGUACUCAUUAAGGCUGAGCUGUGAUGGGGAGAAGACAUUGUGUCUUCGAGUCGUUGAUUUCACACUGCCGAGAAAAGCCUCUAGAUAGAAAAUAGGUGCCCGUACCGCAAACCGACACAGGUAGUCAAGAUGAGAAUUCUAAGGUGAGCGAGCGAACUCUCGUUAAGGAACUCGGCAAAAUGACCCCGUAACUUCGGGAGAAGGGGUGCUCUUUAGGGUUAACGCCCAGAAGAGCCGCAGUGAAUAGGCCCAAGCGACUGUUUAUCAAAAACACAGGUCUCUGCUAAACCGUAAGGUGAUGUAUAGGGGCUGACGCCUGCCCGGUGCUGGAAGGUUAAGAGGAGUGGUUAGCUUCUGCGAAGCUACGAAUCGAAGCCCCAGUAAACGGCGGCCGUAACUAUAACGGUCCUAAGGUAGCGAAAUUCCUUGUCGGGUAAGUUCCGACCCGCACGAAAGGCGUAACGAUUUGGGCACUGUCUCAACGAGAGACUCGGUGAAAUCAUAGUACCUGUGAAGAUGCAGGUUACCCGCGACAGGACGGAAAGACCCCGUGGAGCUUUACUGUAGCCUGAUAUUGAAAUUCGGCACAGCUUGUACAGGAUAGGUAGGAGCCUUUGAAACGUGAGCGCUAGCUUACGUGGAGGCGCUGGUGGGAUACUACCCUAGCUGUGUUGGCUUUCUAACCCGCACCACUUAUCGUGGUGGGAGACAGUGUCAGGCGGGCAGUUUGACUGGGGCGGUCGCCUCCUAAAAGGUAACGGAGGCGCUCAAAGGUUCCCUCAGAAUGGUUGGAAAUCAUUCAUAGAGUGUAAAGGCAUAAGGGAGCUUGACUGCGAGACCUACAAGUCGAGCAGGGUCGAAAGACGGACUUAGUGAUCCGGUGGUUCCGCAUGGAAGGGCCAUCGCUCAACGGAUAAAAGCUACCCCGGGGAUAACAGGCUUAUCUCCCCCAAGAGUUCACAUCGACGGGGAGGUUUGGCACCUCGAUGUCGGCUCAUCGCAUCCUGGGGCUGUAGUCGGUCCCAAGGGUUGGGCUGUUCGCCCAUUAAAGCGGUACGCGAGCUGGGUUCAGAACGUCGUGAGACAGUUCGGUCCCUAUCCGUCGUGGGCGUAGGAAAUUUGAGAGGAGCUGUCCUUAGUACGAGAGGACCGGGAUGGACAUACCUCUGGUGUACCAGUUGUCGUGCCAACGGCAUAGCUGGGUAGCUAUGUGUGGACGGGAUAAGUGCUGAAAGCAUCUAAGCAUGAAGCCCCCCUCAAGAUGAGAUUUCCCAACUUCGGUUAUAAGAUCCCUCAAAGAUGAUGAGGUUAAUAGGUUCGAGGUGGAAGCAUGGUGACAUGUGGAGCUGACGAAUACUAA
rnacentral:rRNA from 1 species